rnacentral:rRNA from 1 species
GGUUAAGCGACUAAGCGUACACGGUGGAUGCCCUGGCAGUCAGAGGCGAUGAAGGACGUGCUAAUCUGCGAUAAGCGUCGGUAAGGUGAUAUGAACCGUUAUAACCGGCGAUUUCCGAAUGGGGAAACCCAGUGUGAUUCGUCACACUAUCAUUAACUGAAUCCAUAGGUUAAUGAGGCGAACCGGGGGAACUGAAACAUCUAAGUACCCCGAGGAAAAGAAAUCAACCGAGAUUCCCCCAGUAGCGGCGAGCGAACGGGGAGCAGCCCAGAGCCUGAAUCAGUGUGUGUGUUAGUGGAAGCGUCUGGAAAGGCGCGCGAUACAGGGUGACAGCCCCGUACACAAAAAUGCACAUGCUGUGAGCUCGAUGAGUAGGGCGGGACACGUGGUAUCCUGUCUGAAUAUGGGGGACCAUCCUCCAAGGCUAAAUACUCCUGACUGACCGAUAGUGAACCAGUACCGUGAGGGAAAGGCGAAAAGAACCCCGGCGAGGGGAGUGAAAAAGAACCUGAAACCGUGUACGUACAAGCAGUGGGAGCACGCUUAGGCGUGUGACUGCGUACCUUUUGUAUAAUGGGUCAGCGACUUAUAUUCUGUAGCAAGGUUAACCGAAUAGGGGAGCCGAAGGGAAACCGAGUCUUAACUGGGCGUUAAGUUGCAGGGUAUAGACCCGAAACCCGGUGAUCUAGCCAUGGGCAGGUUGAAGGUUGGGUAACACUAACUGGAGGACCGAACCGACUAAUGUUGAAAAAUUAGCGGAUGACUUGUGGCUGGGGGUGAAAGGCCAAUCAAACCGGGAGAUAGCUGGUUCUCCCCGAAAGCUAUUUAGGUAGCGCCUCGUGAACUCAUCUCCGGGGGUAGAGCACUGUUUCGGCAAGGGGGUCAUCCCGACUUACCAACCCGAUGCAAACUGCGAAUACCGGAGAAUGUUAUCACGGGAGACACACGGCGGGUGCUAACGUCCGUCGUGAAGAGGGAAACAACCCAGACCGCCAGCUAAGGUCCCAAAGUCAUGGUUAAGUGGGAAACGAUGUGGGAAGGCCCAGACAGCCAGGAUGUUGGCUUAGAAGCAGCCAUCAUUUAAAGAAAGCGUAAUAGCUCACUGGUCGAGUCGGCCUGCGCGGAAGAUGUAACGGGGCUAAACCAUGCACCGAAGCUGCGGCAGCGACGCUUAUGCGUUGUUGGGUAGGGGAGCGUUCUGUAAGCCUGUGAAGGUGUGCUGUGAGGCAUGCUGGAGGUAUCAGAAGUGCGAAUGCUGACAUAAGUAACGAUAAAGCGGGUGAAAAGCCCGCUCGCCGGAAGACCAAGGGUUCCUGUCCAACGUUAAUCGGGGCAGGGUGAGUCGACCCCUAAGGCGAGGCCGAAAGGCGUAGUCGAUGGGAAACAGGUUAAUAUUCCUGUACUUGGUGUUACUGCGAAGGGGGGACGGAGAAGGCUAUGUUGGUCGGGCGACGGUUGUCCCGGUUUAAGCGUGUAGGCUGGUUUUCCAGGCAAAUCCGGAAAAUCAAGGCUGAGGCGUGAUGACGAGGCACUACGGUGCUGAAGCAACAAAUGCCCUGCUUCCAGGAAAAGCCUCUAAGCAUCAGGUAACAUCAAAUCGUACCCCAAACCGACACAGGUGGUCAGGUAGAGAAUACCAAGGCGCUUGAGAGAACUCGGGUGAAGGAACUAGGCAAAAUGGUGCCGUAACUUCGGGAGAAGGCACGCUGAUAUGUAGGUGAAGUCCCUCGCGGAUGGAGCUGAAAUCAGUCGAAGAUACCAGCUGGCUGCAACUGUUUAUUAAAAACACAGCACUGUGCAAACACGAAAGUGGACGUAUACGGUGUGACGCCUGCCCGGUGCCGGAAGGUUAAUUGAUGGGGUCAGCGCAAGCGAAGCUCUUGAUCGAAGCCCCGGUAAACGGCGGUACGUAACUAUAACGGUCCUAAGGUAGCGAAAUUCCUUGUCGGGUAAGUUCCGACCUGCACGAAUGGCGUAAUGAUGGCCAGGCUGUCUCCACCCGAGACUCAGUGAAAUUGAACUCGCUGUGAAGAUGCAGUGUACCCGCGGCAAGACGGAAAGACCCCGUGAACCUUUACUAUAGCUUGACACUGAACAUUGAGCCUUGAUGUGUAGGAUAGGUGGGAGGCUUAGAAGUGUGGACGCCAGUCUGCAUGGAGCCGACCUUGAAAUACCACCCUUUAAUGUUUGAUGUUCUAACGUUGACCCGUAAUCCGGGUUGCGGACAGUGUCUGGUGGGUAGUUUGACUGGGGCGGUCUCCUCCUAAAGAGUAACGGAGGAGCACGAAGGUUGGCUAAUCCUGGUCGGACAUCAGGAGGUUAGUGCAAUGGCAUAAGCCAGCUUGACUGCGAGCGUGACGGCGCGAGCAGGUGCGAAAGCAGGUCAUAGUGAUCCGGUGGUUCUGAAUGGAAGGGCCAUCGCUCAACGGAUAAAAGGUACUCCGGGGAUAACAGGCUGAUACCGCCCAAGAGUUCAUAUCGACGGCGGUGUUUGGCACCUCGAUGUCGGCUCAUCACAUCCUGGGGCUGAAGUAGGUCCCAAGGGUAUGGCUGUUCGCCAUUUAAAGUGGUACGCGAGCUGGGUUUAGAACGUCGUGAGACAGUUCGGUCCCUAUCUGCCGUGGGCGCUGGAGAACUGAGGGGGGCUGCUCCUAGUACGAGAGGACCGGAGUGGACGCAUCACUGGUGUUCGGGUUGUCAUGCCAAUGGCACUGCCCGGUAGCUAAAUGCGGAAGAGAUAAGUGCUGAAAGCAUCUAAGCACGAAACUUGCCCCGAGAUGAGUUCUCCCUGACUCCUUGAGAGUCCUGAAGGAACGUUGAAGACGACGACGUUGAUAGGCCGGGUGUGUAAGCGCAGCGAUGCGUUGAGCUAACCGGUACUAAUGAACCGUGAGGCUUAACCUU